GAAAAGAACUCUGAAGAGAGAGUUCAAUAGUACGUGAAACCAUAAUGAGUAAAACGGAUAACUGUACUGUUUUAGCGUUUUGCUUUUCAACAGUUUGUAGUGAUAUUCGACAGUGCGAGAAUUAGCUGUUUCUCAGCAAAAUUCGCGUAGGUAGAAUGUUGUCAUCAGCUGUGAUUUAGUGCAAUUCCUAUCAUUAAAAAGCUUUACGGUCCUGGCAGAGGUGUGCUGCAGUUCGCACUACGUGUGAAGUAACAUGCUGUGCUAUGUGGUUGUUGAGUUUGGCUGAGAUUACUUUAGUCCGAAAUGUUUAAAGCUUUUGUUACAUGUAUGUCUAGCAGACUUGUUUAUUCUGGUUUGUGGCGCUCAUGUGGUAAUUGUUUGCGUUUCAUGUUUAAUGAUCAAGUACUAGUUAUUCGACCCGUCUUGAAACACGGACCAAGGAGUUCAAAUGGCACGCGAGUCAUUGGGUGUAAAAAUCCAAAGGCGAAGUGAAAUGCGAGCGUAUUGUUAUUUGUGGUAUCCAUGAAAAAAUGAUAAGCUACUGAUGCUAUCAGGCAUUUGUAGACUACAAGCGUGUCG
rnacentral:rRNA from 1 species